rnacentral:rRNA from 1 species
AGAACGAACGCUGGCGGCAUGCCUAAUACAUGCAAGUCGAACGAACUCUUCGGAGUUAGUGGCGCACGGGUGCGUAACGCGUGGGAAUCUGCCCCUUGGUUCGGAAUAACAGUUGGAAACGACUGCUAAUACCGGAUGAUGACGAAAGUCCAAAGAUUUAUCGCCAAGGGAUGAGCCCGCGUAGGAUUAGCUAGUUGGUGAGGUAAAGGCUCACCAAGGCAACGAUCCUUAGCUGGUCUGAGAGGAUGAUCAGCCACACUGGGACUGAGACACGGCCCAGACUCCUACGGGAGCAGCAGUAGGGAAU